UUAACUAUUAUAUAGUACUCAGACGUCACUAAAACAAAAGAGUUUGGGUCCUCUGGCGGGCACGGUCAGCCGGAGCCGACGCCCGAAGGCGGCCUGCCAAAGCAACAAAGGUAGGUAGACACGGUUGUGGGAUUAGAACCCGAUUGACGAACAAAAACGGGGCGUUUAAUCUUUUUUCAUUAAUGAUCCUUCCGCAGGUUCACCUACGGAAA
rnacentral:misc_RNA from 1 species